rnacentral:rRNA from 1 species
GUUGACCUCGGAUCAGGUAGGGAUACCCGCUGAACUUAAGCAUAUCAAUAAGGCAGAAGAAUGGGGGGGGGGCCCGACCCCCGGAACCUGUGGUUCGGGCGGCGAAAUCCCGGCCGGGUUUAAGUUUGGGGAAUAAAACAAAAUUAGAGGGG